rnacentral:lncRNA from 1 species
UAUAAACGCCCAUAACUGAAACACAACAUUGGUGUCAGAUGUGAACGCUGUCGUGGCUAUAAAUUGAGUUUUUGUGUGUCUAUUUUGACGCGGUCAAUUUCAUAUUUGGCGGGAUUCUGAAAAUAUAUUUUCGUGAUUUCGCACGUGGGUCUGUAAUAAACUAUUGCAUACACACUUACAUUUAUUCCCCUGAAUUAACAUAUAAUUACUGUUCAUAACUUAUGUGAUUUGUAAUUACAGGGAGCAGAAGUUGUAACUUGUAAAAAAUAAUAAUAUUGAAAUAAAGUGUUCAUUUCAAUUUUGC